rnacentral:sRNA from 1 species
UUCGGAAAAGGUAUCACAUGCCGAGUUUGGCCUCACGGUCUAAAAGUUCUAGAGUCAGUACAAU